rnacentral:rRNA from 1 species
GACGAACGCUGGCGGCGUGCUUAACACAUGCAAGUCGAACGGUGAAGCGCCUUCCUUUUUGGUGGGUGUGGAUGAGUGGCGAACGGGUGAGUAACACGUGAGUAACCUGCCCCCUUCUUCUGGAUAACCGCAUGAAAGUGUGGCUAAUACGGGAUAUUCUGGGUCUGUCGCAUGAUGGGUCUGGGAAAGAUAUUGUUUCGGUGGGGGAUGGGCUCGCGGCCUAUCAGCUUGUUGGUGGGGUGAUGGCCUACCAAGGCGGUGACGGGUAGCCGGCCUGAGAGGAUGGACGGUCACACUGGGACUGAGACACGGCCCAGACUCCUACGGGAGGCAGCAGUGGGGAAUAUUGCACAAUGGGCGCAAGCCUGAUGCAGCGACGCCGCGUGAGGGAUGGAGGCCUUCGGGUUGUGAACCUCUUUCGCCAGUGAAGCAGGCCUGCCUCGUUUGUGGGUGGGUUGACGGUAGCUGGAUAAGAAGCGCCGGCUAACUACGUG